rnacentral:tRNA from 1 species
AAGGGUAUAGCUCAGUAGUAGAGCAUGUGCUUAGCACACACAAGGUCUUGGGUUCAAUCCCCAGUACCUCCA